UGGACCAUCACCAGACGGCUAAAUGCAUCUCGUUAACCGGGAAUGUGAACGGACGUAAUCGUAGUGCGAACGUCUAACCCGUUUACCUCCGCGAGACAGUUGUCUAUACGUCUAGAAAUGUCGGUGGAGUAAACACAAUUCUCGCUAACACUAGUAUUGUCUAUUUACCUGAUUUCCGCGCUGUAAGCCGAAGGCACGAGGGUAUUCACGUGUCUAUUGGGUACCUAACGAGGUGUAUACAUUGCAACGGUUCAUCGAUACCUACACC